rnacentral:rRNA from 1 species
AACGAACGCUGGCGGCAGGCUCAACACAUGCAAGUCGAGCGCCCCGCAUGGGGAGCGGCAGACGGGUGAGUAACGCGUGGGAACGUACCCUUUGCUACGGAAUAGCUCCGGUAAACUGGAAUUCAUCCCGUAUGUGCCCUACGGGGGAAGGAUUUCUCGGCAAAGGAUCGGCCCGCGUUGGAUUAGCUAGUUGGUGCGGUAAGGGCCUACCAAGGGGACGAUCCAUAGCUGAUCUGAGAGGAUGAACAGCCACAUUGGGACUGAGACACGGCCCAAACUCCUCAGGGAGGCAGGAGGGGAUAAUAUUGGACAAUGGCGGCAAGCCUGAUCCAGCCACGCCACGUGAGGUAUGAAGGCCUUAGGGUUGUAAAGCUCUUUCACCGGAGAAGAUAAUGACGGUAUCCGGAGAAGAAGCCCCGGCUAACUUCGUGCCAGCCGCCGCCGUAAGAC